rnacentral:rRNA from 1 species
GACGAACGCUGGCGGCGUGCUUAACACAUGCAAGUCGAACGAAGUGGCGAACGGGUGAGUAACGCGUAAUCAACCUGCCCUUCAGAGGGGGACAAAAGUUGGAAACGACUGCUAAUACCGCAUACUGAAGGAGGGGAUUGCGUCUGAUUAGGUGGUUGGAGGGGUAACGGCCCACCAAGGGGAUGAUCAGUAGCGGUUCUGGGCGGAUGGACGGCGACAUUGGGACUGAGACACGGCCCACGCUCCUACGGGAGGCAGCGGAGGGGAAUCUGCCGAAAUGGAGCAAAGUCUGACGGAGCAACGCCGCGUGAGGGAUGACGGCCUUCGGGUUGUAAAGCUCUGUUGAUCGGGACGCGGUACCGGAAUAGAAAGCCACGGCUAACUACGUGCCAGCAGCCGCGGUAAUUC